rnacentral:misc_RNA from 1 species
UUGAAUAAACCUGGUGGGUUGUCGCUGGCUCUUCGGAGCAUGUGCACGCUCGCCAUCUUUAUCCAUCCACCUGUGCACCAUGUGUAGUCUUGAGGGAGAACGAGCUGUGAAUGCGGCUCAAUGUCCUUUCAAGUCUAUGACUUUUCAUACACUAGUAUGUUGCAGAAUGUACUUCAUGGGCCUUUGCGCCUAUAAAAACACAAUA